GGAUAAGGAAUAGUACCUGCCAAUUCUGUUAUACAGGGUCGAAUGCCACCAUUACCUAAGGAAUAUCUCAGCAACUGAUAGUAUAUAGAGUAGUAAAGGUUCUACAAUGAAGGCUAUGUUAUCCGGCAGAAUUCCUUAGUGGUGAAAUGUUCAAACUGCCAAUUUGGUCAGCAUUCCAUAGAUUAUAUGGGGCAUAUUAUCUCAGUGUCGGGCUUGCAAGUGGAUCCGGCUAUAAUUGAAGCAAUUACUGCUUGGCCAACUCCUUGCUCUAUCUAGGACGCAAACAGAGGCCUUAACAAAUGCUUGGAACAAUAAUUGUGUUGCUUUACUGUGGAUACGCCCAAUACAUGGUUUAAACUACUGCCUUGGGCAGAGUUUUAGUAUAACACUUCCUUCCAGACCAGUGCUAAGAUGACUCCAUUUUGAAGUUGUAUAUGACAGACCACCACUAACAAUCUCUCGCUUUGUGAUGGACGGCACAUCUAAUCAAGUUGUUGCUGAGUCGUUUCAUCAAAGGAUGAAAGUUUGGGAAUUCUUAAGGCCAAUCUCCAUCAAGCUCAGAUUCGUAUGAAAAUAUUAGCUGACAAAGGAAGGCGGGAAGUUUCAUUUUGAUGUAGGUGAUUGGGUCUAUGUUUGUUUACGCCCAUAUCGCCAACUUUCACUCCGUUUGCAGCGACACAGCAAACUCAGUAGACGGUUCUUUGGACCCUUUCAAAUUAUUCAGAAAAUUGUCUAGGUUACUUGCAAACUCAAUCUUCCAUUAUCUUCAAAGGUACACCCUAUUUUUCACGUCUCUAUUCUUCGCAAGUGCAUUGAAAAGACUGAGCAAGCAUGUCACCCCCAUUGAUUUGAUUAGUCCAUCUUCUUCUAUUGAUCUUGUUCCUGAAAAGGUCCUGCAACAUCGCACUAUUGCCAAAGAUCAACACCAGCUAUCUCAAUGUCUUAUCAAAUGGCAGGGCUUGCCUAUCUCUGAUGCAACAUGGGAGGAUACUUCUCUGAUUCGGCCCAUGGGCUGGAUGUGUCCAGAUAUAGCUCUAAUCUAGGGCCAUUGACCCUCCAAACCAUUUGAAGGACUUUGUGGUCCCAAAAGACAAAGGAUAAGGAAUAGUACCUGCCAAUUCUGUUAUACAGGGUCAAGUGCCACCAUUACCGAAGGAAUAUCUCAGCAACUGAUAGUAUACAGAGUAGUAGAAGUUCUACAAAGAAGGCUACGUUAUAUGCCAAGUCUUUUUAUAUUUAGUGAAGAGAAGUUCUGUAGCUUUUUCCUUUCUAGGUUUUUCUUUGUUUAUCUUUUCAAUUCCAGCAAUUGUUUGUAAGUUUUCUACUAGUUUUAUUGAAUCAACGAAUUGCAGUUGCUAGAAA